rnacentral:rRNA from 1 species
GACAGAGGGUGCAAACGUUGUUCGGAAUUACUGGGCGUAAAGCGCGUGUAGGCUGCUCGGAAAGUCGGAUGUGAAAGCCCUGGGCUUAACCUAGGAAGUGCAUUCGAAACUUCCGAGCUGGAGUUCUGGAGAGGAAGGCGGAAUUCUCGGUGUAGAGGUGAAAUUCGUAGAUAUCGAGAGGAACACCGGUGGCGAAGGCGGCCUUCUGGACAGUGACUGACGCUGAGACGCGAAAGCGUGGGGAGCAAACAGGG